rnacentral:rRNA from 1 species
AGCAGCCGCGGUAAUUCCAGCUCCAAUAGCGUAUAUUAAAGUUGUUGCAGUUAAAAAGCUCGUAGUUGAAUUUCGGGAUCAGUACGUUGGUCGUGCCUUCGGUACGUACUGGCGUUACUGGUUCCUACCUUCUGAGGAACCGUCAUGUCAUUAAUUUGGUGUGGUGGGAAAUCAGGACUGUUACUUUGAAAAAAUUAGAGUGUUUAAAGCAGGCUCGCGCUUGAAUACAUUAGCAUGGAAUAAUGAAAUAGGACGUUCGAUCCUAUUUUGUUGGUUUCUAGGAUUGACGUAAUGAUUAAUAGGGAUAGUUGGGGGCAUUAGUAUUCAAUUGUCAGAGGUGAAAUUCUUGGAUUUAUUGAAGACUAACUACUGCGAAAGCAUUUGCCAAGGAUGUUUUCAUUAAUCAAGAACGAAAGUUAGGGGAUCGAAGACGAUCAGAUACCGUCGUAGUCUUAACCAUAAACUAUGCCGACUAGGGAUCGGAUGAUGUUGAUUUUUUAAUGACUCAUUCGGCACCUUACGGGAAAA